rnacentral:misc_RNA from 1 species
AUAAGCGGAGGAUGGAAGUAAAAGUCGUAACAAGGCAUAUCAAUAACGCGGAGGAUGGAAGUAAAAGUCCUAACAAGGUCCUAUCGGGAACCUGAGGAGGGGGGGGGGGGGGGGGGGGGAAAGGAAGGAGGAAAGAAGAAGAGAAGGGCGGAAUGGGGGCGAUGGGUCUUCUUUUCCCAUCGUCCCUCGACGCCAGGAUCCCACGGGCGCCUGGAGCGCUCGGUGCAUUCUCGGGGGCAGCACAAACCCCGGCGCGGAAUGCGCCAAGGAACUUGAACAAGAGAGCGAUGCUCCCACCACCCCGGACAUGGUGCGUGCGCGGGAUGCCAUGCAAUCUCCCAUUAUUCAUAACGACUCUCGGCAACGGAUAUCUCGGCUCUCGCAUCGAUGAAGAACGUAGCGAACUGCGAUACUUGGUGUGAAUUGCAGAAUCCCGUGAACCAUCGAGUCUUUGAACGCAAGUUGCGCCCGAAGCCAUUUGGCCGAGGGCACGUUUGCCUGGGUGUCACACGCGGCGUUGCCCCUAAUCCCUCGCCUAAAUCGGGCGGGUAGGACACGGGAGCGUAUGCUGGCCUCCCGCGACGUCUUUGUCACGGUUGGCCCAAAAUCGAGCGCUGGAGCGAUCAGCACCACGACAUUCGGUGGUUGAUGAGACCCCAAUGUUCAAUGUCGUCCCCGUCGCUCGUGCGGGCGCUUAAAGAAUCUACUCCUUACCAACGCGACCCCAGGUCAAGCGGGGCUACCCG